rnacentral:rRNA from 1 species
GGGUAUUUAAGUUGUUGCAGUUUAAAGCUCGUCACUUGGAUCUAGGAGACGCGCAUUUAUUUAAGCAUCCGUGUCAUUGGGUCAAACUGAUGACUGCGUGGUGUUGCGGGCUCGGUCCAUUAGUCAUCCCACAAGGGUGAUUAGUGUGUUAACCGGCCCGCCCGUCCCCUCCUUCUGGAUUCCCGUUCCUGCUAUUGAGUUAGUGGGGACGUCACAGGGAAUUUAUCAUUGGCCUUCACGGGCCAGUGGUACAGUUUCUGGGGCCCAGAUCGUUUACCGUGAAAAAAUUAUAGUGUUCAAAGCAGGCAGAUUCAAUUUUCUGCCACCGAAUACAUUA